UUUUGUGACUGGUAUCGUCAGGGAAUUGAAGGAAAAUAGUCUAUGCAAUAUUGCUAAGAAUCCAAAAGAUUGGUUGGGAAGAUUGUGUUGAAACAACUUAAAAUAGGGGUGUUCAGUUCUAAAUAGUAAUUUCGUUUAAUGCAUUUUCCUCAAAAAGUCGGACUCAGGUAUAUAGCUCCUAAUGCUAAACCGAUUGGUAAAUCAUAAAUGUAUGAUGUCACACGUGGCAUUUAUGUUUAUACCCACAAUUAAAUUAUCUCAGAUGUGGCCAGAUAGAUAUAAGUAUCCAACCUAAUCUGCUUAUAUUAUUUUGGUCACUAAUGAUAAACCACUAAAUAACUAUGUUUCCACACGUGAUGUACAUUCAUUUUACCCACAAUUCAAUUUUCUUGAAAACCUAAUAUUGUAUGAUACAACGAAGAAUCCAAAUAUUUGUUGACGAGAUUGUGUAAGUCUUUAUAAUCUACUUGUUUACUUUUUGUGUAUUUACAGAUGGAAUUAGUUUAAAACAACUUGACAAUAAAAGCAAGCAGACUA